CGGCUGUUUCCGUUGCCUGGCAAAAAAAAUGAAAAAAGGGACAGGGCAAAUCCUGACAGUCACGCAGAGGUACGGAAGAGGAUUAGGGCCACUCAUAAAAAAAUAAAUAAUAAUCUGACUUUAUUCUCAGAAUUCUGAGUGAAAACCCAGAAAAAAAAAUCGGAAUUCUGACUUUAAAGUCAGAAAUACAGGUACCUGUAAGGACCAACCUUUAUGGACACUUUGCUUUAUGCAGAAGGAGGAAGAAGAAGAAGCCACUUCGUCAAUGGAAGACCUAAAGGUUCUACAACAAGCUCAAUGCUGUCUCCCUUUCUUCAAAUUCAGACCAAUAUUUCACAACCACACAGUAGUAGUAGGUAAGAUUCACGAGAUUGACCGCCUACCAAUUAAAGGUGUGUGAAAUGCAAAGAAACUACAAAAAGAUUACAAAUAUUGCUUCUAUAUAGUACUGCAUGUAAACAAUGACGUGUUAUAUCUUCUGCUCUUUUCAGGUCACUCUCUCUAAAGCUAUCAAAUCUUACUAAGAGAACCUUAAAAAAGAAAAGAUUAUAUAUGUGAUCGUUUCUUUUUCCAGUUGCGAUGUUUGGAGGAAGAAAGCGAGGGACUUCAUCCCAACACGGUGUUUGUCAUGUGUGCGGUUGGGUCCUGGCCUUGCCUGGCAGAGUGGAUGAUCCUCAGAGCUGCGUCUCUGUAGCGCAGGGUGAGAGUCCACAGGUCCAGAGGCUGUUGCACAACGGUGCAGUUCUCCAACAGCGGCAGGCCCACUCUGCAGUCAACAGCCUCAUGUGAUCAACAAUAUUUUCGAAACACGAGGCUUAGGAGGAGGAACGAGCUGUCCCUUAAUGACACGGGUCUGACAUUCCGGGGGGUCCAAGCAGAUAACAGCUCUAUCGCCCUGGUCAACGACUCCAAAGAAAUAGGAGUGUUAAAAUGCACUGUAAUAACAGCAGCACCAUUUAAGAUUGAAUUUAGGAACGCCAUAGAUAGUUUAACAAUUAGCGAUUGGCCAAUAGUUACUUUUAAUCAUUAACCAUUAAUUAAUCAUUACAAUUAUUAAUCUAACUCCAUGUAUGGGCUAUAGGCUGCCAGUGUACCUGAUGGGGCAACCAGAGAUCAACUACGAGCUAGGCUGUCGAAAGCUGUAUGAGAUGCACAUUCGCUCAAUGUUUCGGGUUUUGCUUGUGUUUCGGCUUUUACAUGAAAAGACUUGUUGCACUUGAGGCAACGAGGAGGGUCCGCAUCCACUUUAGGGAAAUGUAACCAUACUUCUGAAUGGGAAUUAGAAUUAAGAACCAGAAAAGAAGGUGGUGAGAGCAGUUGGUUUCACUGGAACCAAGGCAUUUGCACAUUUUAACCAAUUGAACCAAAGUUACACCAUUUGUGUGACCCUGGAUCACAUUUCUGACAAUGCGUCGAGUGUCCAGGUUUGUCUGGGGCAGCAUCGCUGUGCGUGCGUGUGAUGAUGACGCAAAGAAGCCGCUGAAGUCCUACCUGGGCUCUCCCUGAGGGCCUGCAGAACAGGGUUGGCUGGGAGGCAGGUCAGAUCCGGGAACGUCCGUACAGCCCAUGUCGUUACUGUAGGGAAUUCCUAAGUAGUAGUCGAACCCUGGGCACGCCCAAAACAGAAGACACACACACAAAGAAAUGUGAACAAACCACAUGAUCUACACACGUUCCAUCUGCUGCUGCUUUGUGGCGUCAACGACAAGACAAAAAUAUUACUUUGCCACUAGUUUUUUAUUGGAGAAGCGGUUCUCCAUCUUGAUCUUCCCCUCUAUGACGCACAUAUUAAUGAUAUGAAAUGUCACUCAUGUUCCUCUGCAUGUUAUUUUAUGGAAGUCAUGACCUCAGGCCUUUGAGAGACUGUAGAUCAAUAUUGGGGGUGUGGUUUGCUCUCUGCCCCAGCUGGUUGGCCCCCAGGUCAACCCCCACCCUGCAAUGAUCAGCUAGUAUGAUGAUGAAGCCUUUUCGUGAGUGUAGAUACACACUCUGCGUUUUUGGUUGACCCACUGGUCGACACACUCUAUGACACACAUAUUAAUGAUAUGAAAGGUCCCUCAUGUUCCUUUGCAUGAUCAUGUAUGGAAGUCAUGUGCAUAGAGCAAAACAGAGUAAAGGAGGCCAAUGGUCUAAAACUCAGUCAAUAAGCACCAGGGAUUGAUAAUGAUUUCAUUGUUUUCUCUCUUUGGUACCGCCGAAGCUAACAAAAAACCGGACAUGCCCGUAGGGCGACAUUUGAGAAACAGAGUUAGAGUUGGGAUUGAGAGAAUGACUCCCGAUUUCGUGGUCAGUGUCCUCCACUGACCUCGGCUCGUCGGAGCGUAGGGCCCGCAGUGACCCAGGUGCCAUUUCCCUAUCAUGGCCGUGUAGUAGCCGGACUCCUGCAGUAACCGUGGCAACGCCACCUCCGACAGGGGCAGGCCCGCCACCGAUCGGACGGCGAAGUUGUGUGUCACGCCGUUCCGGACGCCGUAGCGAGCGGUGAGAAUGGCGGCGCGGGACGGAGAGCAGGUGGACGCCGGCGAAUGGAAGUCUGUCAACCUGGAGGGGACAUUUUGUUUUACUGUGUUUGAUUUUUUUUUCACACAUUGUCAUCAUAAUGAUGAUUGUCAUGGAGAGCCAAUUACCGUCUAUCCUGUUGAUGAAUAUACGUUGAAAACAAUAAAGUUAUGGCACUUUG